GGCUCGGUGGCGGAAGGUCCGCAUCUGCGGAUAGUUCGUGGUGAUCAAGUUCUAGCAGAGGAUGCUCGUUCGAUUCGAGCCCGAGCCA